UACGAAGGGGGCUAGCGUUGCUCGGAAUUACUGGGCGUAAAGGGCGCGUAGGCGGAUGUCUAAGUCAGAGGUUAAAUCCCAGGGCUCAACCCUGGAACUGCCUUUGAUACUGAACAUCUUGAGUACGGGAGAGGUGUGUGGAACUCCGAGUGUAGAGGUGAAAUUCGUAGAUAUUCGGAAGAACACCAGUGGCGAAGGCGACACACUGGCCCGUUACUGACGCUGAGGCGCGAAAGCUAGGGGAGCAAACAGG
rnacentral:rRNA from 1 species